GUAGGGAAUCAUCUUCAAUGGACAAAGCCUGACGGUGCAACGCCGCGUGAGUGAAGAAGGUUCUCGGAUCGUAAAGCUCUGUUAUCCGAGAAGAACAAGGACUGGUCAAACAGGCCGGUCCCAUGACGGUACCGGAUCAGAAAGCCCCCGGCUAACUACGUGCCAGCAGCCGCGGUAAUACGUAGGGGGCAAGCGUUGUCCCGGAAUUAUUGGGCGUAAAGGGCGCGCAGGCGGUUUCCUAAGUCUGAUGUGAAAGGCCACGGCUCAACCGUGGAAUGGCAUUGGAAACUGGGGAACUUGAGUACAGGAGAGGAAAGCGGAAUUCCACGUGUAGCGGUGAAAUGCGUAGAGAUGUGGAGGAACACCAGUGGCGAAGGCGGCUUUCUGGCCUGUAACUGACGCUGAGGCGCGAAAGCGUGGGGAGCGAACAGGAUUAGAUACCCUGGUAGUCCACGCCGUAAACGUUGAGUGCUAGGUGUUAGGGGUUUCGACGCCCUUAGUGCCGAAGCAAACGCAUUAAGCACUCCGCCUGGGGAGUACGACCGCAAGGUUGAAACUCAAAGGAAUUGACGGGGGCCCGCACAAGCGGUGGAGCAUGUGGUUUAAUUCGACGCAACGCGAAGAACCUUACCAGGUCUUGACAUCUUCUGACCGCUCCAGAGAUGGAGUUUUCCCCUUCGGGGGACAGAAUGACAGGUGGUGCAUG
rnacentral:rRNA from 1 species